UACGUAGGGUGCGAGCGUUGUCCGGAAUCACUGGGCGUAAAGGGCGCGUAGGCGGCCCGGCAAGUCAGUGGUGAAAGCCCGAGGCUCAACUUCGGGUCGGCCACUGAUACUGCUAGGCUUGAGUCGACUAGAGGCAGAUGGAAUUCCGGGUGUAGCGGUGGAAUGCGUAGAGAUCCGGAAGAACACCGGGGGCGAAGGCGGUCUGCUGGGGUCGAACUGACGCUGAGGCGCGACAGCGUGGGGAGCAAACAGG
rnacentral:rRNA from 1 species